rnacentral:rRNA from 1 species
UGNCGGNAGGNUUAACACAUGCAAGUCGAGCGGUUUAAUGUACUUGUACAUUAGAUAGCGGCGGACGGGUGAGUAAUACUUAGGAAUCUACCUAUUAAUGGGGGACAACAUUUCGAAAGGGAUGCUAAUACCGCAUACGCCCUACGGGGGAAAGCAGGGGAUCUUCGGACCUUGCGUUAAUAGAUGAGCCUAAGUCGGAUUAGCUAGUUGGUGGGGUAAAGGCCUACCAAGGCGACGAUCUGUAGCGGGUCUGAGAGGAUGAUCCGCCACACUGGGACUGAGACACGGCCCAGACUCCUACGGGAGGCAGCAGUGGGGAAUAUUGGACAAUGGGGGGAACCCUGAUCCAGCCAUGCCGCGUGUGUGAAGAAGGCCUUUGGGUUGUAAAGCAC